rnacentral:rRNA from 1 species
UACGGGGGGGGCAAGCGUUGUUCGGAAUUACUGGGCGUAAAGGGCGCGUAGGCGGCCUUCUAAGUCGGACGUGAAAUCCCUCGGCUUAACCGAGGAACUGCGUCCGAGACUGAAAGGCUUGAAUCCGGGAGAGGGAUGUGGAAUUCCAGGUGUAGCGGUGAAAUGCGUAGAUAUCUGGAGGAACACCGGUGGCGAAGGCGGCACUCUGGGACGGUACUGACGCUGAGACGCGAAAGCGUGGGGAGCGAACAGG